UCCCUAGUGGCUCAGACGGUAAAGCAUCUGCCUACAAUGAGGGAGACCCAGGUUCAAUCCCUGGGUAGGGAA
rnacentral:tRNA from 1 species